UUUCCGUAGGUGAACCUGCGGAAGGAUCAUUAAUGAGUUGUCAUGGGGUUCGAUGCUGGCAGCCAAUUUUUGGAUGCAUGUGCUUGCCCUAACAAUCAUCUUCCAAACACCUGUGCACAUUUUUGAGGGAGUCUUGAGUUGGUUGCCGCUCUUGGGUGGUUUUCUCACAUUCCCUUAAAUCAUUAUACGCUAUUAACAAUGUUGAACGUGCUCUGUGCCGCAAGGCUAUUAAUAUAAUACAACUUUUAACAACGGAUCUCUUGGCUCUCGCAUCAAUGAAGAACGCAGC
rnacentral:misc_RNA from 1 species